AAUUCGACUACUUUAAGGAAUAAUGCAAGAGUCUCUCCUUAUCUAUGUAUCUAUGUAUAUUAUAGUUGCUGAUGCCUCUUUUGUACAGUACUAACCCUCUGCUUUGGAAUUAGCCUAAAAAACUCUUAUAAUUACAGCUGCUGCCACUCAAACUGCCUUCUUCUGCUGUCGACACCUGGCUUCUGCACGUGGCCAUUUAAUGUUCCGUGAGACAGCACAUCUGUUUGUUGCUUUACUAUUCUACCACUGUAAAAAUGCUUUCGUUUUUACAGCAACUACAAAACCUGCGUUGAUCAAAGAUUGCCGAGGAAGUUUCAGAUUUCAAAAUCGCAGCCACUCUCUUUUCAGCUUAUGCUGCUGACACGUAUCUGCCGGACGUGGUUUCUGAAUGCUUGCUGCCAAGUCCCAUACUGCAGUUUCAAAACAUAUAGGCAUGCAUACAAUCUACUCUAACAUGUACUCUUAACAAUAACUAUUAAUUUUUUUAAACAUUAAAUCAUGAAAUCAUUUCUCUUUACGCUUCCGGAAUGAAGCUGGGAACAAACUUCCUGAAGAAGACAUUGCUCCGCCGGCUGCUCUACGUCCAUGCUUGCUGUCUCCGAUUUUAAAUUAAAUAGCAAACUUUAAUCAAUAUUUUAUAACACACGUG
rnacentral:lncRNA from 1 species